rnacentral:antisense_RNA from 1 species
UGUGGGAGCUGGCUUGCCUGCGAUAGCAGCGCCUCGGUGUUCCUGACACAUCGAGUUGUCUGCAUCGCAGGCAAGCCAGCUCCCACA